UCCUACGGGGCGCAGCAGUAGGGAAUAUUGCACAAUGGGGGAAACCCUGAUGCAGCAACGCCGCGUGGAGGAAGAAGGUCUUAGGAUUGUAAACUCCUUUCCUUGGGGACGAUAAUGACGGUAUCCAAGGAAGAAGCACCGGCUAACUACGUGCCAGCAGCCGCGGUAAAACGUAGGGUGCAAGCGUUAUCCGGAAUUACUGGGCGUAAAGGGAGCGCAGGCGGAUUGACAAGUUAGGAGUGAAAAC
rnacentral:rRNA from 1 species